rnacentral:rRNA from 1 species
AUCCUCCGUAGGUGAACCUGCGGAAGGAUCAUUA